GCCGGGUUUCGCUCCGGCAGAAGUACUUAUAUACUACUUCGUGUUCUUUCAUUUUGUCGGAUGUGUAAUUUUAUUCGAGGAAACUUCCCUAGGCCUAACAAUUAUCGGAAUUUUCCCCCGGGCUAAUAAUCAUCAGCUGAGAACACAAAAAAAUCAACGAGUAGAUGUAUGCUGAUAUAACAUGAUUGCGUGAAAAUGAACUUGCAUGUAA